CGCCGCUGGUUGACGCAGGGGCCUCCGCAGAGAGCCAGGAUUUAUCUGCGCCUCUGACUGUGUCCCCAGGCCGGGUGCUGGCGACGGAUGUUCUCAGAGCUCGUUUCCUCCACCCACUGUGUGCCCGCAUGCAGUAGGUGCUCAAUAAAUGCUGUCGACCAGAACCGAUUUUUUUGGUUACAGAAGUGGGAAGUAUGAUUUUUGGUUUGCAGGGGGCAGAAACAGCAUCAGCCCAGUGGUUUCAAGGCUGGUUGCACAUCCAGGUCAUUACGAGAGACGGCUGCCUGCGCCCCAGCCCCAGAGACGGCAAACCGGGGCCCGGGCGGGGCCUGGCCGCGGGGAUGUCCAGUCGUUCCGGGUGAUUCUUACCUGCGGCCAGGGCCAAGAGCCACCGCGCCGCCCCGGAUCCCGUGAGAUGCUGAGCUCAGAGGCUGCACUGUCUGUUCACGAGCCGGGCGGCGGAGACCCCGCUGUCUCCACGUGAACUGGAUGGGAGAGGCCGCGCCGUCCAUGUGAUAACCGGGUGGCAGAGGCUGCGCCUCCCCCCCACCGCCCCGUGAACCAGGAAGUGGAGGCCGCGACGUCCAGGUGUGAACCAGAAGGCGGAGGCUGUGCAGUUGUUUUAGUUUCCUAAGCUACAUCGAGCAAAUACCACGGCAUGGGGAACGUGAAGAAAGAGGCUCAGAUUCAAACAACCACACGCACGUUUUGUUGCUCCGCGCACACGUUCAGCCUACCGAAGUCUCCCUUUAGAUGCCCAGGGGCCUGCCAAGGUCACCCUGUCCCAGCCCCGCACGGCCCUCUGCACCUGGCCUGCCGCCCACCCCGUCUGGCCCUCCCUGCGCCUUCUCCGGUAAGCGAGGGCCUGCUCUGCGCUGGGUGCCGCGCGGUCCCUGCCCUCGGGGACCCUCCACCAGGGGAGGUCACGCCAGCACGCCCGGGAGUGCGCGCGGCCGGCACUGGGGCCAGCCGCAGCCAUGGGGCCCACAGGAGAAACCGGGGCCCCCUGCGCCCGCCUCCUCCCCCGCCCUGCUGACCCUCGCCUGCGUGCUGCUCGCUCUGCCCUCCUCCCUCUGCGGCCCCCACUGCCCGAGCCAGACCCCACCCUCCCUGGUCUGACGGUCGCAGUGUUCACACUCGCUUUUCAGCCGCGUCGACUCUCUCAAAUGCCACCCCGGCCCCACCUCUCACCCGGCCAAAGUCCUCAGCGGCUGUCCAAGCUCUCCGGAUCUGGCCCCUGCCCCUUCUCCUCCCCCAAGAAGGCAGAGAGUCCCUACCAUGCAGUGGGCACUGCUCCAGGCGCACGGGGUAGCAGUUAGAGGCAGACAAGCUCCUCUGCCCAGCGCUGGUGCCCCCGGGCGUUUCCUGGGCCUCUGUACACACCCUGCUGUUCCUUUGCCAAUGCUGUUCCCACUGCUGCUGCCUGGCCUGCCUGGCUCUCUGUGCCUUUCCUCCCCUGGAAAGCCCUUCCUGGUUCAUCACUGGAGCCCCUGGCUGGGUCGGAAAGCACCCCGUGCUCCUCCCUGCUCCCCCUCCUUCCCCGUGGGCCACAGCGUGGGGCGUGGUCGCCCCGUGCUGUAUUUGUGGCCUAUCCUUCUGUGUUCUCAGUGUGUGGCGGGCCCAGGCAGCGAGUAGAUGCUCAAUAAAGUUCCACAGAGAAGGGAGGAAAUCGAUGCUGGAAGUUGAUGUAGGCUGGGGGUGGGGGGCUGGUCGUCUCGUCAUAGAUAACCUCCUGAGCUGUGCAUUUGGGACAGUGAGAACUGCAGCCCUGCCCCUGGGAGCCAUGACAACAACUCCAGUCCUGGAGAACGUUUAAGCCAUGCAAACUCCAUAAACUUCAAAUAUUCAGGGAAAAUGCAAACCAAAUGUGCUAAAAGCUUAUCUAGAAUGGAUGAAGUGCAUGCUGAAAGCCUACCUAGGAGGUGGAAGAUACAAGCUAAUUCAAGCCUACUGAGCGCUGAAACAAAGAACCAGUUGGCCCUUCCUCUCUGUAUAAAAGGAACUCAAGAAUCUUGUUCGGGGCUCGGAUUUUGAAUGAGAAGCUCCGAGCCAGCCGGUCAUAAAUAAAUUCUUUUUCCUUCCCAAAAUUAUUCGCAAGUCCUGGCCUUUCUAUGCGCAAAUUAUUGAACCUCUCUCGACUUCUGCAACAAAGUGACUUCCAAGGCCAGACUUCCAAGGCCAGACAGCUGGGGAGGGGGAGGCUUGGACUGGAAACUCUUUGUAUCUGAUUUCCUGUAAGAUGAGCACUCCGUGCUUGCCACUUGUUCCAUCACUUCCUAGAGAAAAGCGUGCGUUCAGGCGCAGCGUUUCCCUUGCGUGCAGGCCUGUGCUCGAUCACACGCUCCGGGGAAGUGCAAGCGUGGCGCACAUCCCUGAAGGGAGAACCCGCUGACCCCAA
rnacentral:lncRNA from 1 species